rnacentral:rRNA from 1 species
UACGGGGGGAGCAAGCGUUGUCCGGAAUCAUUGGGCGUAAAGGGCGUGUAGGCGGUUUGGCAAGUCGAAUGUGAAAUCCCACGGCUCAACCGUGGAACUGCGUUCGAAACUGCCUGACUUGAGUGCGGGAGAGGUGUGCGGAAUUCCUGGUGUAGCGGUGGAAUGCGUAGAUAUCAGGAAGAACACCGGUGGCGAAGGCGGCACACUGGCCCAGCACUGACGCUGAGGCGCGAAAGCGUGGGGAGCGAACGGGAUUAGAUACCCCGGUAGUCCACGCUGUAAACUUUGGGCACUAGGUAUUGGAGGUCUCAACCCCUUCAGUGCCGUAGCUAACGCGUUAAGUGCCCCGCCUGGGGAGUACGGUCGCAAGGCUGAA